UACGGAGGGUGCAAGCGUUAAUCGGAAUUACUGGGCGUAAAGCGUGCGCAGGCGGUUUGUUAAGUCGGUUGUGAAAGCCCCGAGCUCAACUUGGGAAUUGCAGUGGAUACUGGCAGGCUGGAGUACGGUAGAGGAAGGUGGAAUUCCCGGUGUAGCAGUGAAAUGCGUAGAUAUCGGGAGGAACACCAGUGGCGAAGGCGGCCUUCUGGACCAGUACUGACGCUCAUGCACGAAAGCGUGGGGAGCAAACAGG
rnacentral:rRNA from 1 species